AACGAACGCUGGCGGCAUGCCUAACACAUGCAAGUCGAACGAGACCUUCGGGUCUAGUGGCGCACGGGUGCGUAACGCGUGGGAACCUGCCCUUAGGUUCGGAAUAACUCCCCGAAAGGGGUGCUAAUACCGGAUAAUGUCUUCGGACCAAAGAUUUAUCGCCUUUGGAUGGGCCCGCGUUGGAUUAGCUAGUUGGUAGGGUAAAAGCCUACCAAGGCGACGAUCCAUAGCUGGUCUGAGAGGAUGAUCAGCCACACUGGGACUGAGACACGGCCCAGACUCCUACGGGAGGCAGCAGUGGGGAAUAGUGGACAAUGGGCGAAAGCCUGAUCCAGCAAUGCCGCGUGAGUGAUGAAGGCCUUAGGGUUGUAAAGCUCUUUUACCCGGGAUGAAAUGACAGUACCGGGAGAAUAAGCUCCGGCUAACUCCGUG
rnacentral:rRNA from 1 species